rnacentral:rRNA from 1 species
AUGGGAAGUCAGGCGACCUCAUCAUCGGACAUUGACUGGAGAAGCUGUACACCCUUCGGUUUCAUCUGUCCAGUUUUACGGUACCUUUCACGCCACAAGAAAUCUUGGCAGCGAUCAAGGGAAUUCCAAGUGAUUAGAGCCCGGACCAAAUGUUUUUUCUUCUGCUUUCUAUCAAGACUUUUGGCAGGUUAUAUGAGAAACGACAUUAUGGCUUUCUUUGAGCAAUUCCAUGAGGGGACACUGCAAUUGGACAGAAUAAAUGUGUCAAGAUGGGUUAUGGCUGCUUAUUUCAGUGGGAAGGAUGUGGGCGGACAAAAUUAUGUGUGCAACUAA